GCAUUGCUGGCGAGUCCCAAGCAGGACGAAACAGCUGUCCAGUGC
rnacentral:hammerhead_ribozyme from 1 species